CUAAGUAGGCGACUAAAUCACUGAUUCGCAGUUUACGUCGGCUGGAGUUUUGCUCUUCACGAAAGCUGUUUACAUGGAAGUACUCAAUUCCACCGUCUUCGUUGUUUACCGUCAAGCCAAACCACUCUCUUCAGCUGCCCAUCUCUUCGAUCUCCGCUUGGGGUUAAACUAAUGAAAGUGUUACAGUUGCUCGAGUGUUCAGAAUGGAAGACUCAUAAUGACAAUGACAAUAUACUAGAGUUAGUUUUCAGCUUAUUAUUAUUAAAAUAUGUGUUUCUCUGUGACCCUUUCAAUGAUUCGUUUUUUAUAAUAAUCUUCAUUUUGAUCUUAUAAUCUUAUGUUUUUCUGAUCCUCUAUGUCGCUAUAUGCAAAAGAUGUUGGUGCGUGGCUAUAUAUAUGCUCAAGAGUAUUCCUCAUGUUUCCUUCUAAUUUUUAAAUCUAACAUUGAAAAGGUUUGUUACAGACUUUUUCGUACGGAUCUUUUAUUGGAAACUCUUCUAUGGGAUAUAUAAGCAACUCAAAGACGGAUCUUUUCGUACUUAUUUCUUAUGAGUUUGAUUUCUUUUUUUACUUCUGUUCUUCAACCACUGUUUUCUUAUAUUCUCUUUCUUGCGUUAUGGUUGUCUAAGUUGCAGGUCAGUUCAUGCUUUUAAAGGUUACAAGAUAUGUCUAACGUUCGAUGGAGGGACCUUCAGACUCUAUAUGAAUCAUUCUAUAGAUAAGUCACUAGGUUUGCAACCAAAUCACUCUGUGUUUCUCACCUUCUCAGGUCAAAAACUUUACGAGUUUGUGCACUACGCAUAUAUAGAGGACUAGCGUCAUAAGAGCCAAGGGCUACACUGAAAGAGAUGUGAUCAGUGGUAUGCUUCAUUUGAAUAAUAUUUUUUUGUAUACUCUCUUUCAUCAGAUUUUAUUUCUUUGUAUUCUUUUUUCUACCUAACAGUAUUAAGAAUCAAGGUUUGAUGACAA